CCUCUACCUGCCACAGACAUCACCCACAUGCCUAUGUUCCAAUGCCAGAAUGUCAUGUCUAAGACUGGGUAUAUUAGAUAAACAGUUCCAGCAAGAUCUUCAAGGUGAAACUCUCAAGAAAUCCAACCUUCCCUGGGUAGGUCAGGUAAAUCAAGAAGGUCACCUGGUCAAAGCUGUAGAAUUCCACGGAAUUCAGAGAGAGGAGUAGAAAGGGAGGAAGAACAUUGCCAAUGGGACAAGAAGAGCAAGAGAGCAUGAGAAGGAGAAAGACUGGGAAAGCCACCACUGUCAUACCCAAAAAGCUUUGCAGCCAUGGCGCUUGCCAAAUGUAUAUUCACAUGUAACCAUAAAAAUCACUUAAGAACUUUCAAGUGGAUUUACUCUUUCUCUUUUCAAACAGUAAAGUACAUUGUUACAGGAAGAUAUAAAUACAAAGAUGCCAGAGAGCCAAUCAUUUAUCGCAAUCACAAAACCCUUAUUAUGCAGCUAGCUCCCCAAAGUCCUAAGGGACAGCAAGAACAGUCACCAACAAUAAUGGGACCAGGUCACUAGGGGAAAUCCACUGGGUUUCACUCAUAAUUAGGUUCUGCUUUGAUUCCCAGAGAUGCGUGUUUUCUACCACCGAAUACUGG